GGAGGGCUGAUAACUACUGGAAACGGUAGCUAAUACCGCAUAACGUCGCAAGACCAAAGAGGGGGACCUUCGGGCCUCUUGCCAUCGGAUGUGCCCAGAUGGGAUUAGCUAGUAGGUGGGGUAACGGCUCACCUAGGCGACGAUCCCUAGCUGGUCUGAGAGGAUGACCAGCCACACUGGAACUGAGACACGGUCCAGACUCCUACGGGAGGCAGCAGUGGGGAAUAUUGCACAAUGGGCGCAAGCCUGAUGCAGCCAUGCCGCGUGUAUGAAGAAGGCCUUCGGGUUGUAAAGUACUUUCAGCGGGGAGGAAGGGAGUAAAGUUAAUACCUUUGCUCAUUGACGUUACCCGCAGAAGACGCACCGGCAAACUCCGUGCCAGCAGCCG
rnacentral:rRNA from 1 species